CCCAAGCCGCAGGCACAGCGACUGGCCGGCGCGAAACGACCGACGCCCGCAUUAUUAACUCAUGUGAAGGUAGUGGCGUUUAGGCGAGGGGGAAAUUUAUCUGAUCAGCGUGUAGGAGAUGGAGUAGAGGGAGGGGGAGGGGGGAAGAGAGAGAGACUGCUGAGCGAUCGAUCGAGGAGGCCGGGUUGCCUUCGAUCGCUAGCGGUAUCGGAGACGCUGACGGUCGUGGGCGUGAGCUUGUCAACUCAGGAAGAAGAAGAAGGAGGAGGAGGAGAAGAAGAAGAAGGAGGACACAAAAGCAAAUCCUGACAUGGACGCCAAACGAAAGCGGCAGCCCUAAUCCACCUCUUCGAGCACGAAUGAGCGGCCUGCAGAGUCAAACAAAGGCGCUAGAAAGUUCCGGAGGGCAGGAUGAAAUGGGAAAAUUAUGACGGCGCCAACUCCGAUUUAUAGUCUAGCCUACUACGUAACGGGCGGAUGCGUGGUCGUGGCGGCAUCACCAAAAGGCUGCUGCUGGGUGUCUUAUCAUGGCAUGAUGACGGAAAAGUAAACUCUUCGCUCCGCGGUUUUCAUACGGUUAACCCGGCGCGUAAUGCGGUUCAACGUGCGGGAACAAGACUGCAGCUAACCGGGGGAAUGCACGAUGCUGGGGUCGAGCAACGCCUCCCCUAUUCACAAACGAACGAACGAGGGGAAGCAGUGAGGGUGAGAAGCGAAUGACGACGAAACCAAGCCGGCACCACGCACGUCUCUUCUUCUUCUUCUUAGUCUUCGUCUUCGUCUUAAUAAUCUCCGCGUUUCCGAACGCACGCCAGAGUUCCUUGGUGCUUUUCCGGCUCUUCUUUUCUCCUAUUUUCCAUCCAUCAACUCAUCAUAAAGUGCGCAGGUACCCAACGCCCGACAGCUGCGGCCUGUUGCUACCGCCGCCGCCGCUCCCGCGCGCCUCCUUUGUCCCCUCGCAGCCGCUACAGCAGCAGAAGCAGGGCCCGGAGGCCCGCGGGUACCCGCACCUGAACAGGGUCCGCGAGCGCCCCGCGGACCUGUUCUCGCGGCACCUCUCCGACAGCCGGGACUCUCGCGCGCAGCAGCUGUACCGUUACGUUCUUAGCCGCCACCGCGACUUCGGGUCCGCUUUCUGGCGGCGUGCCGUGCCUAGUUCGUGACGAUUGGAGGAAGUCCGAGAGCUUCUGAUGGACGGUCAAGACGAUCCUAACCACUUUCUUCCAUCACUCAACUCCGUGUCGCACGUCAAACACACCUGAUUGGUUCUCCUGUUCCGGCUCCUCUGCCGGUACCGCCUACGUACCAUGCUCCACGACAGGCACGACGUAAACUACCGGUACCAGACGAACGACGUCCGGUUGAGGGACGAGGAAGGUUCCCGAAUGCCGCUGCCAAUGCCCGGUGCCCAGAGACUUCUCUCGUCUGCACGUUGACAGCUACAAAAGAACUUUCGUAGACCGAUGAACCUGACGCGUUAAGCUGUUCAUGAGGGUGUCUAUGGUAGUCUUGAUUCCUCUGUUGAAGGUCAUCUGGACCGACUUCCGUUGGAGUUUCGAGAAUCGUACGUUCGAGACCCAGUCCCACAACUGUACGUCGAACCCGAUCGUUAGCUGUCGGGUUUCCGGUGUGAUCGACAUUUUUCCGCGAAUCGAACGCUCUACCACUUUAUAACCGUGGUCCAAGUCCUCUCGUAAGGUCUCGAAGGACACAGACUUCCUACCCCUUUUUUCGUAGACGAUAAACAGUUCACCUUCAUGCAGCUUCGUUUCAGACGUCGUAUGAUGAAGGUACCAAACUAAGAACUGCUUCCUUUGUCACUCUUUAGAGUGCCUUACCGUUAUCGUCGUAACCUUCGAAGUCUCCUUAAAGACUUUCUUUCGUUUUCCCGGAGACGUCGGAAGGUACGUUGAGGAGGUUGUAGAUCCUCGGGGUGAGGUAAACCUUGUCGGUUCAUAGACAAACUGUUCUAGGGCUUUCUCCGAAGUUCGUUCCAGGCCUAGUUGGUCCUAGACAUAUGAGGUCUUUCCCAGUAACCUCGUGGUGGGGGCAACGGUCUAAAGAGUAACCGUGAUUGUGGACUUCUGAUGCUAGAAGGAGGUAAUCUGGGUGAAACCUUGUUUCUUCUACCGGUGGUCAUCACAUAUAAGUCGUAAGUCGUCCUCACAGAAGACUACCCUUCCGAGACCGCGAUGACUCUUUAGUUGCUGGUCCUAAGACGGUACACCUCCGGCUUGUGCCGCGUUUGCGUCACAUGUUUCUAUACUAGGCUGUUUUUUAACUACAGCGGUUUAACCUUCGUUUAAAAUCUUUCCGGACUUCUAUAGACUUCUCGUAAAAAUGUCAAUUUAGAAGAGACUGUUACCCUUGUGUAACAGUUUUCGAAAGGUUGUUAAGGACAUUUUUAAUAUAAAGGUUACUCACGGUACCAAGGAAAAAAGAAUCCUAAAAGACUGGUACCGAAUCAAAACCCCGGUUAGACUCGAAUAAGUACACCAUUUAAAUGGUUUGUGCCAGGUCUAAAAGUAAGUUACGAACUCUGUCUUCGUCGGUCCUGCUUUAAAUUUGAUGAAGUGUGUAUGUCUUCGAGACUUGACAAAUUCAAAACUCUGUCGUUGGUUCCCCCAUUGCCGCGUAUAUGUAAAACAGUAAUCAGAUGAGUUGACUAACCCUUGUGCAACG
rnacentral:rRNA from 1 species